UGUCCCGUGGUGUAAUUGGUAACACAACUGAUUUUGGUUCAGUCAUUCAAGGUUCGAGUCCUUGCGGGACAA
rnacentral:tRNA from 1 species